rnacentral:lncRNA from 1 species
CCGCUUAUGCUUUUAUUUCUGACAGGUUUGCCUGUUGUUAAUCAGUCAUUCCUGCUUUUUAAUGUGUGUCUUUGUAUUUAUAAAGUGUUUAAGACUAACAUGUACUUGGGUCUGCUUUAAUUAUCCAGUCAGACAGUUCAUUUAUUAAUUGGGAAUGUUAAAUCGGUUUACAUUUUUCAUAAUAAUUUAUAUGUGAAUUCAGCUCUUCUGUCCUGUUGAGUGUUUUCUAUUGUCCCAUCUGUUCUUUUAUAUAUUUGCCUUAUCCUGCCUUAAUUUUCACUAAUCAGUCAUUUCUUAAUAUUCCAUUUUAUUUGGCAUAUAUGCCUUAUCUUAAAUGUUGUCUUUAAUACGGAAAUAAACAUCCUAUCACAAUUACCAACCUUUUCACAUUUGCUUUGAGGACCUUACAACAAUAUACCUUUGUUUAAGCUUCUUUUCUUUGCCACAUUGUUUUUUUCUGCAUAAGUUUUGUUAUUUUUAUGCCUUCCA